AGCGAACGCUGGCGGCAGGCUUAACACAUGCGAGUCGAACGGGCUUCUUCGGAAGUCAGUGGCAGACGGGUGAGUAACACGUGGGAACGUGCCCUUCGGUUCGGAAUAACUCAGGGAAACUUGAGCUAAUACCGGAUACGCCCUUUUGGGGAAAGGUUUACUGCCGAAGGAUCGGCCCGCGUCUGAUUAGCUUGUUGGUGGGGUAACGGCCUACCAAGGCGACGAUCAGUAGCUGGUCUGAGAGGAUGAUCAGCCACACUGGGACUGAGACACGGCCCAGACUCCUACGGGAGGCAGCAGUGGGGAAUAUUGGACAAUGGGCGCAAGCCUGAUCCAGCCAUGCCGCGUGAGUGAUGAAGGCCUUAGGGUUGUAAAGCUCUUUUGUCCGGGACGAUAAUGACGGUACCGGAAGAAUAAGCCCCGGCUAACUUCGUG
rnacentral:rRNA from 1 species